UGGUGGGGUAAUGGCCCACCAAGCCUACGACGGGUAGCCGGCCUGAGAGGGUGGUCGGCCACAAGGGCACUGAGACACGGGCCCUACUCCUACGGGAGGCAGCAGUGGGGAAUCUUGGACAAUGGGCGAAAGCCUGAUCCAGCGACGCCGCGUGGGGGAUGAAGCCCUUCGGGGUGUAAACCCCUGUUGCGAGGGAGGAAUAAGGCCUGGAGGAAAUGCCAGGCCGAUGACUGUACCUCGCGAGGAAGCCCCGGCUAACUACGUGCCAGCAGCCGCGGUAAUACGUAGGGGGCGAGCGUUACCCGGAUUCACUGGGCGUAAAGCGGGUGUAGGCGGCUCGGUAAGUCGGGUGUGAAAUCCCACAGCUCAACUGUGGAAUUGCGCCCGAAACUGCUGAGCUUGGGGCCGGUAGAGGGAGACGGAACUGCCGGUGUAGGGGUGAAAUCCGUAGAUAUCGGCAGGAGCGCCGGUGGGGAAGCCGGUCUCCUGGGCCGCGCCCGACGCUGAGACCCGAAAGCUAGGGGAGCAAACCGGAUUAGAU
rnacentral:rRNA from 1 species